UACAGAGGUGGCAAGCGUUGUUCGGAAUUACUGGGCGUAAAGGGCUCGUAGGCGGCCAACUAAGUCGGACGUGAAAUCCCCAGGCUCAACCUGGGAACUGCGUCUGAUACUGGAUGGCUUGAAUCCGGGAGAGGGAUGCAGAAUUCCAGGUGUAGCGGUGAAAUGCGUAGAUAUCGUAAGGAAGACCAGUGGCGAAAGCGAGUCUCUGGCUAGCAGCUGACACUGAGGCACGAAAGCUGGGGGAGCAAACGGG
rnacentral:rRNA from 1 species